CCUACGGGCGGCAGCAGUAGGGAAUCUUCCACAAUGGGCGAAAGCCUGAUGGAGCAACGCCGCGUGGGUGAAGAAGGUCUUCGGAUCGUAAAACCCUGUUGUUAGAGAAGAAAGUGCGGGAGAGUAACUGUUCACGUGUCGACGGUAUCAAACCAGAAAGCCACGGCUAACUACGUGCCAGCAGCCGCGGUAAUACGUAGGUGGCAAGCGUUAUCCGGAUUGAUUGGGCGUAAAGGGAACGCAGGCGGUCUUUUAAGUCUGAUGUGAAAGCCUUCGGCUUAACCGGAGUAGUGCAUUGGAAACUGGGGGACUUGAGUGCAGAUGCGGCUAGUGGACCUCCAUGUGUAGCGGU
rnacentral:rRNA from 1 species